rnacentral:rRNA from 1 species
GGAGGAUCCAAGCGUUAUCCGGAAUCAUUGGGUUUAAAGGGUCCGUAGGCGGGUUUAUAAGUCAGUGGUGAAAGCCCAUCGCUCAACGAUGGAACGGCCAUUGAUACUGUAGAUCUUGAAUUAUUAGGAAGUAACUAGAAUAUGUAGUGUAGCGGUGAAAUGCUUAGAGAUUACAUGGAAUACCAAUUGCGAAGGCAGGUUACUACUAAUGGAUUGACGCUGAUGGACGAAAGCGUGGGUAGCGAACAGGAUUAGAUACCCUGGUAGUCCACGCCGUAAACGAUGGAUACUAGCUGUUCGGAGCAAUCUGAGUGGCUAAGCGAAAGUGAUAAGUAUCCCACCUGGGGAGUACGUUCGCAAGAAGG